rnacentral:rRNA from 1 species
GAGUAUUCCCGCCUCCUUUGAGGGGUUAAGGCUCCCAGUAGACGACUGGGUUGAUAGGCCAGAUGUGGAAGCCCUGUGAGGGGUGGAGCUGACUGGUACUAAUAGGCCGAGGGCUUGUCCU